rnacentral:rRNA from 1 species
GAUGAACGCUGGCGGCGUGCCUAAUACAUGCAAGUCGAGCGAACAGACGAGGAGCUUGCUCCUCUGACGUUAGCGGCGGACGGGUGAGUAACACGUGGAUAACCUACCUAUAAGACUGGGAUAACUUCGGGAAACCGGAGCUAAUACCGGAUAAUAUAUUGAACCGCAUGGUUCAAUAGUGAAAGACGGUUUUGCUGUCACUUAUAGAUGGAUCCGCGCCGCAUUAGCUAGUUGGUAAGGUAACGGCUUACCAAGGCAACGAUGCGUAGCCGACCUGAGAGGGUGAUCGGCCACACUGGAACUGAGACACGGUCCAGACUCCUAAGGGAGGCAGCAGUAGGGAAUCUUCCGCAAUGGGCGAAAGCUUGACGGAGCCACGCCGCGUGAGUGAUGAAGGUCUUCGGGUUGUAAAACUCUGUUAUUAGGGAAGAAAAAAUGUGUAAGUAACUAUGCACGUCUUGACGGUACCUAAUCAGAAAGCCACGGCUAACUACGUG